UACAGAGGUCCCAAGCGUUGUUCGGAUUUACUGGGCGUAAAGGGUGCGUAGGCGGUUGGCAAAGUCUGGUGUGAAAUUCUGUGGCUCAACCACAGGAGUGCAUUGGAAACUUGCCGACUAGAGAACUGGAGGGGGGGCUGGAAUUCUCGGUGUAGCAGUGAAAUGCGUAGAUAUCGAGAGGAACGCCAGUGGCGAAAGCGAGUCCCUAGACAGUUACUGACGCUGAGGCACGAAAGCUAGGGUAGCAAACAGG
rnacentral:rRNA from 1 species